rnacentral:rRNA from 1 species
AUUGAACGCUGGCGGAAUGCUUACACAUGCAAGUCGAACGGCAGCACGGGGCAACCUGGUGGCGAGUGGCGAACGGGUGAGUAAUAUAUCGGAACGUGCCCAAUCGUGGGGAUAACGUAGCGAAAGUUACGCUAAUACCGCAUACGAUCUACGGAUGAAAGCGGGGGAUCGCAAGACCUCGCGCGAAUGGAGCGGCCGAUAUCAGAUUAGGUAGUUGGUGGGGUAAAGGCUCACCAAGCCAACGAUCUGUAGCUGGUCUGAGAGGACGACCAGCCACACUGGAACUGAGACACGGUCCAGACUCCUACGGGAGGCAGCAGUGGGGAAUUUUGGACAAUGGGCGCAAGCCUGAUCCAGCCAUUCCGCGUGCAGGAUGAAGGCCUUCGGGUUGUAAACUGCUUUUGUACGGAACGAAACGGUCUGCCCUAAUACGGCAGGCUAAUGACGGUACCGUAAGAAUAAGCACCGGCUAACUACGUG